rnacentral:lncRNA from 1 species
AAAUACGAAAUGAAACAGAUCUAACAGACACAGUGAGGCCUUCUGUUAGUGGCCUCUUCCCCACCCCUUUAUUAGAUAUUGAAUUGUUUUUCAUCAUUGGUCCUUGUUUAUCAAAGUUCAGGCUUUUCAAUCAUCCUGUUCCAAUUCCCAUUAAUGCCAGCCAGCGCUCUCGUCACGGGAUUAUCUCAGGAAUGCUGCCUCAAUGCCUUAUCACGCUCCAAAGAUACAAUGUCUACAGGAGUCAUUGAAUCAGCAGUUUUAAUUAAUGAUAAUAUUUAUUGAGUUUCAGAUGCCAAAUGGAAAUUUCUAGCUUUGUUUUUAAAAACUCUUUCAGAAGGCAGAAGCAUUUGAUUAUUUUUACCUUCUUCCAUUUGAAUAUUUCAUAGCUUUUCAUGUAAAUCUGCUGUUUAAUUACCAUUACAUUUAAAAGUGCAUAAACCACUAUGUGCUUAUGAGGAACACACGUAAUAUCUAAGAAGUGGCCCUUGGAUGAGGAGCUUACAAUCUGAUAGAGCUGGCUAGACUUGUGUGCAAUAAAGACUCUUAUAAAAAGACAACGUGGAGUUAAAUUGCUCAAAAGUGUCAGAAGAAGAGGAGGGUAGGGAAAACAUCUGAGCAAAGGUAGGGAGAGAGGAAUGAUUAGAACAUACUGUAUAAGGUCACAGCAUAGUUAGAAAAUCACCCAGAUUGAAGAAGUAAGCUGACAGGGUAUAGUGUGUUACAAAUCUGGCAUUGUAGCCAGAGAGAGCUUAUUGGCUGGCUGGAACACCCCUGAGCUUGCUCUGGACAAUGCCCAGCCAGGCUCGGACAUGGGCUUGCCUCUCACCCCAACACAAUGGCCUUUUCUUAGUUCCUCAAUUGUUCCAAGUCCUUCCCUCUACCUGAGACAAUUCCCCUCUCCCUCCCGCACUUCCACCUCCAACUCCUCUCAACCUGAAGAUGACCCAGUUAAGAAUGGCCUUGCUGGCCAGGCGCAGUGGCUCACAGCUGUAAUCCCAACACUUGGGGAGGCCGAGGCAGGUGGAUCACUUGAGGUCAGGAGUUGGAGACCAGCCUGGCCAACAUGAUGAAACCCCAUCUCUACUAAAAAUACAAAAAUUAGCUGGGUGUGGUGGUGAGUGCCUGUAAUCCCAGCUACUCGGGAGGCUGAGGCAGGAAAAUCACUUGAACCUGGGAGGCAGAGGUUGCAGUGAGCCAAGAUCGCACCACUGCACUCCAGCUUGGAUGACAAGAGUGAGACUCCAUCUCAAAAACAAAACAAAACAAACAAAAAAACAAAUGGCCUUGCCUAUAUUAAGGUCCUCCUUUGUUCAGCUCCUUUAUUGGCUUCACAGCUCUAAUCCCAGUCUAAAAUUAUUUCGCUUAUGUUGACUCCAUUUACUUUAUGUUUAGUAUUUGUCUCCUCCAUAAACUAUAAACUCUUUGAGGACAGCCUCAAUUGUCCUGUUUGUUCUUUAUCUUCUAGUGUGUACCGGUCAGUAAAUAUCGGUCAAAUUAAAGGAUAAAAUAUGGGAAAGAUAAGAAUGAGUCCAGUCAAGGAAACCUGUCUGAUUUUCAAGAAGAAGAAAAGUUUAGAUUUUAUAAGAAAAGUAAUACACAGAUAAGCAAAAGAAUGAUAGAUUUUGGGGAGUAUGAAUGGAAAGAGGAUGUUAACAGUAUGCCGAAUGUAUUGUGGAGAGGAAAAUUACUAUAAGUGGGAGGCAGUUAGAAGGUUAUUACAGCAUCCAAGUAAAUUGAUAAAAGCCUGAACAAGGGUGGUAGAGUAGAAAUGGAGUGGAAGGGGAAAAGCUGAGAUUAUAAAGAAGAGUGCCCAUGAAAUUUUUGUUUUUAGCUUUCACUUUUAUUUUGAAAUAAUUUUUUCAGAUCUUUUGAAACUUAGAGAAAAGUUGCAAAAUAUCAUGAGCUUGUGUAUAGCCUUCAUCUAGAUUCACCAACUCUUAGAGUACUGCUCAUUUGCCCAUGAAAUUUUUGUUUUUAGCUUUCACUUUUAUUUUGAAAUAAUUUUUUCAGAUCUUUUAUUUUGAAACUUGGAGAAAAGUUGCAGAAAAUCAUGAGCUUGGGUAUAGCCUUCACCUAGAUUCACCAACUCUUAGAGUACUGCUCAUUUGCUUUAUUCCCUUGCUCUUUCCUCUGUACAUGCAUGUACAUUCUUACGUGUUCUUUUUUUAUGAAUCAUUUGGGAAUAAGUUAUAGACAUCAUGCCCCUUUAUUCCCAAAUACCUCAGUGUGUAUUUCCUAAUAACAAAGACACUUUCACAUAGACAGAAUACACUUACCAAAGUCAGGGAUUUAAUGUUGAUACAAUGCUUUAUCCAGGAUUCUAUAAUAGUUCAGGGUCCAAUUGAGGAUUAUGCAUUACAAUGAGUUAUAAUGUCUCUUUAGAUUCCAUUCAUCUGGAAUAGUUCCUUGUUUUUUUAAUUUUAUGCCAUCAAUAUUUUUGAAAUGUACUGGACAAUUAAGUUGUAGAAUGUUCCUCCGUUUGGGUUUGCUCAUGUUACCUCAUAAUUAGACUCAAACUCUGCAUUUUUGGUGGGAGUACUACAUUAGCAUUCUUGUGUCCUCCUCAGCACUGAAAAAGAGGCACAUGACAUCACUUUGUCACAUUAUUGGAGGUAUGAACUUUGAUCAUUUGGUUAAGGUGGCAUCUGCUAAGUUUCUCCACUGUAAGAUUGCUAUUUUUAUUUUGUAAUUAUUGAAUUAAUUUAUGCAAAGAUUAUGAGCCUAUAUGAAUAUUUUAUCUUCAUCAAACUUUUACCCAAUAGUUUUAGCAAACAUUGGGGAUUCUUGCCUGAAUCAGUUAUUGCCAUGACAGCUGCAAAAUGGUGAUUUUGUAACUCUAUUAUUUCUUCUACAUUUGUCAAUUGGUAUUUCACUGUAAAGAAAAGUGUUUGCUUUUUCCAUUGUAUUUAUAGCCCAUGGACUGUUUUUUGAUUACAUGGAUUAUAAUCCAUUACUGUCAUUAUUCAUUUUAAUGACCAAAUUACCCCAGUUUGUUCAGU